AAAUGACUUUCUGUCAUGUAAACUAGACAAGGCAUCUUGAGGAAAUGUUUUCUGAUCUUUAGCACAGAAGUUAAAACAAGUGCUUGCUGUGCAACAGCGUCUUCCCAAUUAGAUUUCCAUUUCUAAACCCUACUGUGUCAAGCUUUGAGCUAGACAUCAGGCUAGACUACAAGAAAUAUGAGAAUAUGAACCAGGGCUGGGAUUAGGUCCACUUUAUUCACUAUUGUAUUCUGGCCAUAGAGUUCAUAUAUGACAAAGUUGGUGCUCAAUAGGACUGAAUGAGUGAGUGAAGGAAAGCCCUGCUAUGAAGGAGCUAGCCCUUUGUGGGGGAAGACUGUGAAGUACAUAAUUCAUUAUGUGGACACUCCUCUUGACCAGCCCAGCAUGAAUGAACUAGAAGACGAACCAGACUGCUAACUGCUCUAACAGAGGUACAGCAAUGGUGCAGAACACACAGGAGUGAUCUGGCCCCAUGGAAGAGGCUUCACAGAGACGGGUGAAGACUGGAGCGACAAGAAUGGCCUUCCUUUCGCCGCAGCUCUGCAAGUCCCUCUCCUUCGGCUGGCUGCCUUCCUCACUGUAAGAGGUAUGACAGUGGCUGUUUUCCAGGGCAGCCCCAGGGUAACCAGGCAGUCUGCCUCAGAUCAGGCCAGGCAGGUGGGGCCUGGAGCUGAUGCAGCCAAGAGAAGGAAUGAUAUGAUAAACCUUCACAUAACCAUCA